UGUACUGACCAUCAUAACAUGUUGUCUUUCAACUAUACUCUGCUGUUCUUUAUAUCUUGUCUUGAAGCACUGAGAGUUCACCAACAUCCCAAGCAUGUUAUAAGCCGAACAGGGGGAUCACUCAAUUUAACAUGUGUUGUUACUGGCCAUGACAAUCCUGACAUCUUAUGGUACAAACAGAACGCAAGGGAAGAACUGCAGUUUAUGUUUCUCUCUACAGCUGUAAAUCUGGUGAAACCUCUGAGAGUUGAGCACUUCACUGCCACCAGACCUAACGAGUCACAUUUUUUCCUUGAGUCUGCAGACUUACGUAUGAAAGAUUCUGCUGCUUACUUGUGUGCAGGAAGUACCACAGAGGUUCACAAAUGCUACUGCACUGUACACGAAAUAGAACAUUAUGGUUACUGACUAUAUUCAUGUGAUAUUAUGAGUCGUUGGUGGUUUUAGGUGUGAAAUGGCAGUCAUGUAUACCACAGA